rnacentral:rRNA from 1 species
GUGAGGAAUAUUGCCCAAUGGACGCAAGUCUGAGGCAGCAACGCCGCGUGGGCGAUGAAGGCCUUCGGGUUGUAAAGCCCUUUUCUGAGGGACGAGGAAGGACGGUACCUCAGGAAUAAGUCACGGCUAACUACGUGCCAGCAGCCGCGGUAAUACGUAGGUGGCGAGCGUUAUCCGGAUUCACUGGGCGUAAAGCGCGUGCAGGCGGUUCUGCAAGUCGGACGUGAAAGCUCCUGGCUUAACUGGGAGAGGCCGUUCGAAACUGCGGGGCUUGAGGUCGGGAGAGGGACGUGGAAUUCCCGGUGUAGUGGUGGAAUGCGUAGAUAUCGGGAGGAACACCAGUGGCGAAGGCGACGUCCUGGCCCGCACCUGACGCUGAGACGCGAAAGCGUGGGUAGCGAACGGGAUUAGAUACCCCAGUAGUCC